rnacentral:tRNA from 1 species
GCCUGGCUAGCUCGGUAAGUAGAGCUUGAGACUCUUGAUCACAGGGCUGUAGGUUCAAGCCCCAUAUUGGGCA